rnacentral:misc_RNA from 1 species
GAAAAAUCAGGCUAAAGGUGAACCCUGUGAGAUGGAGCUUCACAAUGAGUCUGGAUUCAGUAAUUCAUCCAUGCAGCCAUGCAAAGGAAAUGAUCCGGCAGAUGAGGAAGUGGAUAUCGGUGGGAAUGAUCCACCUGUUUCAAGCUUCCCUCCUGUGGAGAUAGAGAAGGAUAGAGCUCGCAGGAGCAAUAAAUGCAGUAGUUCAAGUAGUUCGAGUAGUGGUUCUGGCUCUUCAUCUAGUGGUACAGAUUCUGGAAGCUCAUCUGGUGGUGAAUCGGAUGCUGAUAAAGAUUCAGUUGUUCAGAAGGCAACAGCGGCUUCUGGGGCGAGAUUGGAGCAGGAAGAUGAGCUUGACCUUCCAGAAACUACAGAUCCAUUGGCUGGCCAAACAGUGCUGACUUCUCAGCAGAACUCCAAUUUUGCUGAGCUCGAUGAUCAUCGAGAGGAGGAGAGUGCUGAACCUGAGAGGCAAGUCUCUCCUGAGAAGCUCUACCGUGCAGCUUUGUUAAGAGGUCGCUUUGCGGAUAUCAUACUAAAAGCUCAGGAGAAGAGCAUUGAAAAGGGUGAAGUGCGGGAUCCAGAAAAGCUAAAGCUUGAGAGAGAGGAGUUUGAAAGGCGUAGGCGAGAAGAGAAAGCUCGGUUGCAAGCUGAAGCUAAGGCUGCCGAAGAGGCUCGUAAAAGAGCUGAGGCAGAAGCUGCUGCAGAAGCCAAAAGGAAACGAGAACUUGAAAGAGAAGCUGCCCGUCAGGCACUCCAGAAGAUGGAGAAGACUGUUGAAAUCAAUGAGAACAGUCGAUUCAUGGAAGAUCUGGAAUUGUUCAGAGCUGCUCCAGAUGAACAGCUAGAGAGCUUCAUUGAUGAGACUAGUCCUGGUCAUUCUGAGAAUAUUCUUGGGAGUUUCAAAUUUAAGGCAAGUAGCAAUCCGUUGGAGCAACUUGGAUUAUAUAUGAAGGAAGAAGAUGAAGAUGAAG